rnacentral:RNase_P_RNA from 2 species
ACGAUGAACCAGGUUCCCGCGCCGCGGCUUAUGCUGCGGUGAGGAAAGUCCGGGCUCCGCAGGGCAUGAUGCCGGGUAACGCCCGGGCGGCAGAGCGGUAACGUUCUGCCGACAGACAGCGCAACAGAAAGCAAACCGCUGAAAGGGAAAUGCCAUAAAAGGCGUCUCCCCGAGAAUUCGGGUAAGCCCGAAUUCUCGAAGAUGAUUUUUGGUAAACCAAAAAUCAUCCAGUAAGGGUGAAAUGGCGGGGUAAGAGCCCACCUCGGCAGCGGUAACGCAGCCGAAAAGAUUCCGGCUUUGCCGGAAAAUGGCAAACCUCAUCAGGAGCAAAGCCAAGCAGCGGCGUGAAAAGGCGAAAGCCUUUUCACGUUGGAGAUUGGGCCGUAGGCCCAAUCUCCGGCAACCAAUGGUCCGUUGGUCAUGCCGCGGGUAGACUGCUCGGGACUAGUCCCGGGAAACCGUUCGUAAGGGCGGUUCGAGAUAGAUGGGAACCGGUGGAAUUCUUCCUAUGGGAGACCCACCUGGAGUAUUUCCCGCAAGGGGAAUACUCCAACAGGAAAUAGCCCUUUAAGGUUAUUUCCUGCCAGAACCCGGCUUAUGGUUCAUCGUUUUU